rnacentral:rRNA from 1 species
UAGGGAAUCUUCCGCAAUGGACGCAAGUCUGACGGAGCAACGCCGCGUGAGUGAAGAAGGAUUUCGGUUCGUAAAACUCUGUUGUUAGAGAAGAACAGCGCAUAGAGUAACUGUUAUGCGUGUGACGGUAUCUAACCAGAAAGCCACGGCUAACUACGUGCCAGCAGCCGCGGUAAUAUGUAGGUGGCAAGCGUUGUCCGGAUUUAUUGGGCGUAAAGCGAGCGCAGGCGGUCAAUUAAGUCUGAUGUGAAAGCCCCCGGCUCAACCGGGGAGGGUCAUUGGAAACUGGUUGACUUGAGUGCAGAAGAGGAGAGUGGAAUUCCAUGUGUAGCGGUGAAAUGCGUAGAUAUAUGGAGGAACACCAGUGGCGAAGGCGACUCUCUGGUCUGUAACUGACGCUGAGGCUCGAAAGCGUGGGUAGCAAACAGG